AACGAACGCUGGCGGCAUGCCUAACACAUGCAAGUCGAACGAUGCCUUCGGGCAUAGUGGCGCACGGGUGCGUAACGCGUGGGAAUCUGCCUUUCGGUUCGGAAUAACUCAGGGAAACUUGAGCUAAUACCGGAUAACGUCGCAAGACCAAAGAUUUAUCACCGAAAGAUGAGCCCGCGUAGGAUUAGCUAGUUGGUGAGGUAAAGGCUCACCAAGGCGACGAUCCUUAGCUGGUCUGAGAGGAUGAUCAGCCACACUGGGACUGAGACACGGCCCAGACUCCUAGGGGGGGGAGAAGGGGGGAAUAUUGAAAAGUGGGGGAAAGCCGGAUCCAGCAAUGCCGGGGGAGUAAUGAAGGCGUUGGGGUUGAAACGCUUUUUUACCGGGGAAGAAAAGGGCGGAACGGGAAAAAAAGGCCCCGGCUAACCCCGUG
rnacentral:rRNA from 1 species